rnacentral:rRNA from 1 species
CCUACGGGUGGCUGCAGUGAGGAAUAUUGGUCAAUGGGCGCGAGCCUGAACCAGCCAAGUAGCGUGAAGGAUGACUGCCCUCCGGGUUGUAAACUUCUUUUAUAAAGGAAUAAAGUGCGGUACGUGUGCGUUUUUGCAUGUACUUUAUGAAUAAGGAUCGGCUAAUUCCGUGCCAGCAGCCGCGGUAAUACGGAGGAUCCGGGCGUUAUCCGGAUUUAUUGGGUUUAAAGGGAGCGUAGAUGGGUUGUUAAGUCAGUUGUGAAAGGUUGCGGCUCAACCGUAAAAUUGCAAUUGAUACUGGCAGUCUUGAGUACAGUUGAGGUAGGCGGAAUUCGUGGUGUAGCGGUGAAAUGCUUAGAUAUCACGAAGAACUCCGAUUGCGAAGGCAGCUUACUAAACUGCCACUGACAUUGAUGCUCGAAAGUGUGGGUAUCAAACAGGAUUGGAUACCCCGGUAGUC